CAGUCGCCGCGGUAAUACGUAGGGUGCGAGCGUUGUCCGGAAUUAUUGGGCGUAAAGAGCUCGUAGGCGGCUUGUCGCGUCGGAUGUGAAAGCCCGGGGCUUAACUCCGGGUCUGCAUUCGAUACGGGCAGGCUGAGUGUGGUAGGGGAGAUCGGAAUUCCUGGUGUAGCGGUGAAAUGCGCAGAUAUCAGGAGGAACACCGGUGGCGAAGGCGGAUCUCUGGGCCAUUACUGACGCUGAGGAGCGAAAGCGUGGGGAGCGAACAGGAUUAGAUACCCCCGUAGUCCCUGUCUCUUAUACA
rnacentral:rRNA from 1 species